rnacentral:lncRNA from 1 species
ACAGCCAAGCUGGUCCACCCGGCCUUGGAGCCUUGGGCAGGUGGCACAGAGGCCGACUGCAGGCUGGAGAGCCAGCUCCAGGGAGGCAGAGCUAAGACACAGGUGUCUGACACCAGGCACCUCGGCUCCGGGAACCUGCGCUGCCCUGAUUAGCUAAGUACAAAGGCAGUUCGAAUUACUGCCUCUCCCUAGCCAAUCGCCCGCUGGCCUGGCUGACAGGAGCAGGUCCCCUGAUGUCAGGGACGUCCGCUCACUGGCCAGAACCAGAGAGCCGGUUUCUACCUUGCCCGCGGGCAACCCUACUCCAGGCACCUUAGAGCAGUUUGAGUUAGGAACUCUCUCUGCCCGCCCACGGCGCCGCCCCAGGGUCCUCAAACACUCAAACGCGCUGUGCAAUAAAGGCAAGGCCAAGCUCUUUCUAACCUCCUUUGCCUGGUUCUGGACGCCCAGAUCCUGUGCAGCUGAUGGAACUCCAGUUUUAAUUAGCUACGGCUUUUUUGCAAGCGAGACUUUCUUACAGAAACUGGGAGACAAGGAGACACAAAUACAAAGAAAGAUCUUUUUACAGUCACCGCUCUGAACAAUGAAAUCCAAUAUUGGAGAGAAAAAAAUCACCUCAGAUGUGAAAAUAGAUAAAACUCCAGCGAAGUGGGUACUGCAUCCCACUGUGGGCAGGGCUGUCCCGGGCAUCCUAAAACCCAGCCAGCUGAAGCCAUUGUACGCCCCUGAAACGGCGAUCCUUUGCAGCUGUAUGGCUAGGCAGCGCUUGAUUCAAGUUUGGUAUUUGCCCCAGACUGUAGGGGCCAGCUUAACAGUAACCAUAGACACAAAGAAAGAACAGCGCACACAGAAAGCGCCUGAGUUGGUGGGGAUGUAAAUGGAUUUUCGUUUGCCUGGGAUGCUAUGGCAAAUGUGUGUGUGCACACAUGUACGUGCACAUGCACAAGCUUUAGGAAGAGUCUUAGGAAGAAUCUUAGGGGGAGUCUAAUGGGCUAAAGUAAUGGACUGAGCCACUGGGAGUCCUACCUUGAAAAGCAUUAAUGAAGUUCUCAAGAGAGUAUGUAUAUAUAUAUAUAUAUAUAUAUAUAUAUAUAUAUACAUUAUAUUAUAUAUUAUUAUACAUUCAUAUUAAUAUAUCUCCAUUAAUGUUAUAUUAUUAAAAGAUAAUAUUAUACUAAUUUCCAUACAUUUAUAUUAAUAUAAAUUAAUUUUUAUGCCAGGCAUGUUGACACACACCUUUAAUCUCACACUCAGGAUGCCAAGUGGACUGGACUGUAUUUAGUUAUAGCAAUGGAAAGUUACCAAGUACAAACACCCUUCACAAUCACCAUAAAGAACUUUGAUACAGACAAGCUUCUCACACUGGAAUGUAUAGGAAUCUUCUUCAUUUAGCAGAGUAACCGGACACACAGGACUGCUUGCUUCCCUGUCUGCCGCCCACAGCUCAGGUAAGACCUGCUCUCACUAGGUGAGUCUUUGACAGAAUAUGAUGUUUUUAUUUUUCCUUUUCUCUAAAAGCCAGUAGCCCCUGGACUGUGGCAUACCCUAUUUUCUGAGCACCUUUUCAAAAACAAAGCCACAGGCUGGAGGGUUUCAUGUUACCCAGCCGAAGAACUGCAGCCUGUGAUGGAUGGCCUCAGAGACUGAAGGAUUUUCCUUAAUGAUUUGUACAUGUCCCUCGGGUACCUGUUUACAUUAGAGAUGAGGGUCCUCGGUGGGAAAGCUGCACCAAACACAAGAGCCUGGUUCCUUCACCUGCUUUCUCCUCUUUGGCCGAACUCAGCACGUUUACCUUUCUCUAGGAGUUGGGGGCAGAUGGAGUUUGUAUGUAAGGUGGAUUUGGAUGCCUGUCAGCCCUCUUGACUACAUGUUUACGACAUAUUCCCAAAGCUCAAAGACCUGUCCCUCAGUAGGUUUUGGAAAAUGAGAAGUUUGUCCUUAAUACUCUCUGGAGGAAUGUAAGGAAUUUUAUGAAUGGGGGAGACAGAAAAAACCUCUUGGUGUCUGACCUGCUUUCCUUUUUCUAGAGCAUUCGCCAACUUCCAACAUGCUGUGCACAGUCCACAUGUACCCAUAUGCAUGUUGUAUGUACUGCCUGUUGCCUGUGCUCACAAGAAUGUCAGCUUCUUGAGGAUAAGCAUGCUGGGUUAUUGCGUUUGAGUCCUGGGUACAUACAGCAAUUACUGGCUUAUAUUAGAUGCUUACUCUGUAAAUUAGACAUUAUUAAAAAAGAAUCACAUAAAAGGUUCAGAAGAAAUGAUACUUUUCACAUAUCACUUAUAGAAUUCGCAGUGUGUGUAUGUGUUUGUGUGUGCAUGUGCAUGCAUAGAUAUGUUCAUGUGGGUGUGUGGGUAUGAGUGUAUGUGGAAGCAAGACUAUCUCCAGCUGGUGAGUGGUAGUGGUGGUGCACACCUUUGAUCCCAGCACUUGGGAGGCAAAGGAAGGCAGAUCUCUGAGUUAGAGGCCAGCCUGGUUUUCAGAGUGAGUUCUAGGACAGCCAGGGCUACAUAGAGAAACCCUAUCUUGAACACCAAAACCAAUAACAACAGUACUCUUCCUUGGUUACCGACUUCCUCUUUUUUAAGAUCCUGUCUCUCACUGACCCCAGAUGAGUUCCCAAGGUCCUGCCUGUCUCUAUUCCCAAACCCAAGCACUGGCUAACAGAUGCGUAGGUUUUUUCAUAAGUGCUUAGGAUUCAUCUUCAUGCUCCGGUGCCUGUCACUGACUUACCAACUUAGUCACUUCCCCAGCAGCUGUGCUGUGUCUUUGGAAGAUAGAAGCAUUGUCAAGUGGAUCACAAUAGUGAGAGUGACAACGGCCAUGGGAAUGACAAUGUGCAGCUGAGAAGAGGCUUCGGUACCAACCAUGGUGGCUUUCAGUAGAAGCUUAGUUGAACUUCAUGAGUGCUCACACGCAGGCUCCCAGCUGAAAGAAAACUGACCAUGGAGCUGAGAGGGGAACCUGAUGAGCUCAUCUGGCCUCUUCCCGUCUGUGUUCUUUCACUAUCAUAGGAAACUGUAUCUGUUGGAGAACUCCAGAGUGUCUGAAGGAGUCAGAUUUUCCAGGAUGCUCUGGGCGAGUGAACCCACUGGCAAAUAAGCCAAUGCUACUUU